rnacentral:pre_miRNA from 1 species
GCCUCCUUUCACGUGCUCUCUCACCGGUCAGAGAGACGAGAGAGCACGCGAAAUGAGGAGA